CAGCAGCCGCGGGAAUACGUAGGGUGCAAGCGUUAAUCGGAAUUACUGGGCGUAAAGCGUGCGCAGGCGGUUUGUUAAGACAGAUGUGAAAUCCCCGGGCUCAACCUGGGAACUGCAUUUGUGACUGGCAAGCUAGAGUGUGGCAGAGGGGGGUGGAAUUCCGCGUGUAGCAGUGAAAUGCGUAGAUAUGCGGAGGAACACCGAUGGCGAAGGCAGCCCCCUGGGCCAACACUGACGCUCAUGCACGAAAGCGUGGGGAGCAAACAGGAUUAGAUACCCCAGUAGUCCCUGUCUCUUAUAC
rnacentral:rRNA from 1 species